UGGGGAAUAUUGCACAAUGGGCGAAAGCCUGAUGCAGCGACGCCGCGUGGGGGAUGACGGUCUUCGGAUUGUAAACCCCUUUCAGUAGGGACGAAGCGCAAGUGACGGUACCUGCAGAAGAAGCACCGGCCAACUACGUGCCAGCAGCCGCGGUAAUACGUAGGGUGCGAGCGUUGUCCGGAAUUACUGGGCGUAAAGAGCUCGUAGGCGGUUUGUCACGUCGUCUGUGAAAUCCUCCAGCUUAACUGGGGGCGUGCAGGCGAUACGGGCAGACUUGAGUACUACAGGGGAGACUGGAAUUCCUGGUGUAGCGGUGAAAUGCGCAGAUAUCAGGAGGAACACCGGUGGCGAAGGCGGGUCUCUGGGUAGUAACUGACGCUGAGGAGCGAAAGCAUGGGUAGCGAACAGG
rnacentral:rRNA from 1 species